CUGGAGAGAAUGAAACAGCAGGUGCAUUCUGGCAUCCUAAUAAAAGCAGGUGCAUUUUAUCCCAAUAAAACUCCUCCAAAGAAAUUGCCAUUUCCCCUCUGCUCCCUCGCCAGGAUCUGGUUUCAGACCUAACUCUGCGCCCUCAGCAACAUCGCCUGGUUCAGUGCUUGUCCCCCAGAGAUAUGAAGAAGGAGAUGAGUCUCCUAUAUUUAUUAAGACUUACUUAUAAAGGCAUCAGAGAGCUCUUGAGAACAUUCCAAGGUCACCAAAUGCUUUCUCAAAAUGCCUUUACCCAGAGAAUAUUUAAAGAAGAGCUUCCUGCCUAGUGGGAGAGAGCUGUGAAAAACCGUGAAUGCUCCAACUGGCCACCUUUCCAGAAUAGACUUUUCCUCUGGAACCAAGACCAGCAAAAAUCACUGCUACGCACAUCACUGAGAUCCAAACUAGGUAUAAGGACUAACCUUACAAACUGUGCAGCACAGGUGCAACAUUCCACGUGUGCCAAAGGAGAGCCCCUUUCUAUGUGAAAGUGUUCUGUAUGCCACUCCCUGAAGGUGAGUGGUGAAGUAACGCUAAGGAACUUGGACAAAUAAU